UACAGAGGUGCCAAGCGUUGUUCGGAUUUAUUGGGCGUAAAGGGUGCGUAGGUGGUGAUACAAGUCGGAUGUGAAAUCCCGGAGCCUAACUCCGGAACUGCAUUCGAAACUGUAUCGCUCGAGGUCUGGAGAGGUGACUGGAAUUCUCGGUGUAGCAGUGAAAUGCGUAGAUAUCGAGAGGAACGCCAGAGGCGAAGGCGAGUCACUGGACAGAUUCUGACACUGAGGCACGAAAGCCAGGGGAGCAAACGGG
rnacentral:rRNA from 1 species